rnacentral:lncRNA from 1 species
AUUCUUGCAGGUGUUUUUAACCGUAUUGUCCUAUCUUUUUUCAAUGGAUCAAACACGUAGAUAGCACUUUCAUGGAGACAAAAAAGGAGCAACAUCCAGUGGUCCCUACAAUAAUAAUGACAUAUUACUAAUAGCAAAGAUUAUAAUUUAUAACAAUACAAUUAUUAACAGAAACUUAUUUUAUUCUUACUCUUGGAUGUACGGUGCCAAAAUAUAACGCUUAUUUCUAUUGGCAACCAAAAAAUCUGACAAAUAGUCUAUUGCUUCAUCUUGUCGUUGCUGGUGACAUUUAUGUGGCAUGGCUAAUCUGGAUGGCAACAUGAAUGCAAAUGUAUCAUCCUUCAACUGUUUACACAACGUGCUAACGUACCUGUAAAAAUCACUCAUCACAAUAAACAUGUGUAUUUAACAUGCUUUUAAGUAAAUUAAUUAGAAAAAGGAGACUUGGACUUACUUUAGAAAAUUUUCAAUUAUGGGAGUAUUUAACCAUCUCAUUUUCAAAAACUGAUCAACAUCUUCGGGUGUAAUGUUUAUCGGAUCUUCUCCAUUUUCUUCAAACGUAAAGACAUCACCUUUUUUAUUAGGGAGCCUCUUUUUGAGCAAGAAACUUAAACCUGCACAAUGCUCACUUAAAUUUAUGUCAUCAACAAGUACUUGCCGGUUUUCUUCACGGGAGUCACGGACCCUUUACUUUCAACCUUUUCUGAGUCAUGUACUUUUUCUUUUGGUGUCAUCUUAUGGCUUUUU